GUGUCGUGGCAAGUGUAUAGUGUAGAAGAGUAGAACAUCAAACUAAAUCAACUUAAUUAAAUUGUCCUCCAAUAUUUUUCAUUUCCGGUUUGCCACAGAGACUCAUAAUUUCUUCAACCCUUUGCAUGGAUAAACAAACAACUCCGCCGUACCUGUCAUGAACCACCUGGACGAGCUCACACCAUGAAAUAACAUUCCCUCCCCCCUCCCUCCAUUCCCUAAAAGCGAAAACGCGUCCAACAACAUCCCCCACUGCUUAAUUUCUGCCAGACGAAAACCAGAAUCCUGAAGUCGGCCCGGCAACACGCGGCAAACAAUAACACUUCUCCGAAACUGGCGGGAUGUGCGCGGCCAGCGUGUGUUUUAAUCGAUUUGGCAAACCCAUUAGCGAAUUUGGACAAUCAGCAACACUCUAACCCUCUUCAGCACCAUCCCCCUGGAGUCUGCGUCAAAAUUCUCCUAAGCAACAAACUACGCAUCAUCCAGACCAAGACCCAGACGAUCGUCUCCGUAAGUGUUGGCUCUGGCCCGUUCUCACACACUGUGGAAUCCUCCGCCCGGCCAAAGGGGCAGCUGGUCCCGGAGCUCUCGAUGGUCGACGAUGG